rnacentral:misc_RNA from 1 species
ACUAAAUUAAUAUAUUUAUUUAUUUAUUAAUAAAAAAAUUGAAAAUUAGAGCCUUGGUGCUUAAUUUUGUCGUUUCGCGUCAAGGAAGAAAGCAGAGUCUAGUCUCUGUAGAAAUACGCAUUACGGUGAUGGUCUUGCUCUGUUUUCAUCUUCCUACCUAAGGAACUUCUCUCGCUCACUAAACCACCGCCACGGCGCACGAUAGCGGGCGCAGUUCCUUUCAUGUCUCCUCUAUAUAUUUAAGCUUGCUUCAAAAUCAACUUUUUCUUUUUGUUCUUUCUCGGGAAAGUUCUUUGUAUGAAAAGAAAGAGAAGAAGAAACAUAUUUCAUUAUCUUUCAGAUCCUCUCAUUGUUAGCUGGAUCUUCCGAACGUAAUCAAGCUUUACACCAACAAUUCAUUGGAUGCUGAAGCCUCUUCGCACGGCUUGUGGCAUUUUCGGCAUGUGGGGAAGACAGCGUGAGACAAACUCGAUGUACAAGCGUCUGUCGUCAAGAGAUUAUGCAAACAUAGUCGAUGUAGAAGAUAAUUCUGCCCUUGUACAGAAGGAUCAGCAUCCAGAAGCUACAAAUCCUCCAUGGAGGCUUUCUUUUCCACAUGUACUGGUGGCAACCAUUUCAUCCUUCUUAUUUGGCUAUCAUCUUGGUGUGGUAAAUGAACCACUUGAAAGCAUUUCAUUGGAUCUAGGAUUCAAUGGAAAUACCUUGGCAGAAGGCCUGGUGGUUAGCACAUGUCUGGGCGGUGCCUUAGUUGGAUCCCUAUUUAGCGGAUGGAUUGCUGAUGGGGUCGGCCGCUGUCGGGCUUUUCAGUUGUGCGCUUUGCCCAUGGUUAUUGGUGCUUCUAUAAGUGCAACAGCGACAACUUUGGCUGGUAUGCUUUUUGGAAGGUUAUUAGUUGGGAUCGGAAUUGGUGUUGGCCCCCCUGUUGCAUCUCUUUAUGUGACAGAGGUUUCUCCUGCUUUUGUAAGGGGCACUUAUGGAAGCUUCAUCCAGAUUGCAACCUGUCUUGGACUUAUGGGGGCUCUGUUUAUUGGGAUCCCUGUCAGAGAAAUUGCAGGCUGGUGGCGCAUCUGUUUCUGGGUGUCUGCAAUUCCUGCUGGAAUACUUGCUCUUGCCAUGGGGUUCUGUGCAGAGAGUCCACAUUGGCUAUACAAGCAAGGAAGAAGUGCUGAAGCUGAAAUUGAAUUUGAGAAACUUUUAGGUGGAGCAAAUGUCAAAUUUGCAAUGCAAGAGUUAUCCAAAUUAGAUAGAGGGGAUGACACAGACACUAUGAAGCUCUCUGAAUUGUUUUGUGGUCGCUAUUUUAGAGGUACAUAAAUUUUUUACUUUAUGGGUGUAUUCCUAUGGACAGUGCGAGUGUGUUCAUCUCUUUGCUGGGCAUCUGCAAAAAUUGAUGCUGCCAUCACUUCCUCUUUUCCUUUUUUUUUUUUUUCAAAUAACCUCUUUUCCAUGUUCAUCAGCUAUGCAGAAAAAUCUUUGAAUUACUUCACAGAAAAGCAAGCAAUACAUCUAGAGGAGUUAAUCACAAGCUACCAGAUUUUAUGCUUCAACUGAACAAAUGGUUUCAGUACUCUCACCGUAAUUAGAAGGUGCGCUAUAACUUCUCUGAGUCAUUACACAAGCCACUAUGCAGCCUAGUCCUUCCUACCCCUGGAAGCCUCAUAAAUCAUUGAAUUAACAAGGCACUAAAGCCAACAAUCCAAAAGUUUAGCUAAAUCUACCAAAUAAGUAGCACCAAAAGGUUUCUUACCAUUCUAACCUAGGUUCAUCACAUCUUGUUAGUUCACUGCUUCUAGAAAAAAAAAAAUCGACUUUGCUGCUUGAUAUCUAUAUCAUCCCAUUGGACACGGUUUUAUCCGAACAGAGAAAACCCUGUAGAAUGAGGUCCAAAUUAUAAAUCACAAUCAGUAAGGUCUCACAUACCAUGGACAACCUACACAACUGUUGAUAGCAACUCUCAUUCUGUUAUUUGUGUUGGCUACCCAAGCACACGCAUUAACACAUUUAUCCAUCCUCAGCAACCCUUAGCAUGGCAUCCUUUGCUCUCACAAAGUAUCAAAGAUUUGAAGAAAAAAACAAGGUAACAGUGAUGAGCUCCACCAAGUAGCCAACGAUUAUUAUCUCACCAAUCAUUUGAAGAAAAAAACAAGGUAACAGUGAUGAGCUCCACCAAGUAGCCAACGAUUAUUAUCUCACCAAUCACCUCUCUUAAACCAAAGCAAGAAAAUGCCUUUCUAACUUCUCUUCAAGUCCUCAACUAACAGCUGUAGAAAUGAGCUCCUCAAGCAUAGGGUUACUGAUUUUCACAUCUCACCCAACUUCACAACCCCUCAUUCACCAAUUUUGAGGAAGAUAUUAGUUUUUUCUUAACAGAAAUCAAUGCUUGACACCAAAGAAAAUUAAAAAUAAGCUAACAGCUGAAAAAACACAAAUGUUAGCAAUUUCAAUCAACCAUAUGAAAGUAGCAAAAAAAGCAAAGAACUUGAAAUUGUACAAUGCUUGAACCGAACACUUGACUGCAAGACUAGCAACUGUAUCCCCUCUUACAAUCUUAUGCGAAAUAGCGAACUUCCAGAUUCCAUUAUCUCUCCAGAAACUUCCAGACACGGGCUUCCCUAGUACUUCCUUCAAUUUCCACGGAUUCAUAAACGCGCUCCUCACAAUCCCACCGUCCGAAGCCACCGAGUUCCACACCCUGCAAACGCAGCUCGCCCGCGCCAAGUCUGCCACCGAAAGCUUCUCGAAGAUUAGCUGGAGUGUGUCCCGGCACGUGAGCGCCGAGAAGAGAUGUUGAUUGCGGUCUCAACAGAUAUGUCGGUAGAAGAUUCCGGUGGGUUGAGGUGCCGCGUGAGGAUCCAGUCGUCGUCGCCAAAGCAGCCCAUCGUUUUACCGAGAGAAGAGGGAGAUAUGGGGGAUAUUAAAGUAACAGGAAUUGGAUGGUCGUUUUAAGACUGGGCUUUAUCCUUUUACCAUUAUAUUUUGCCCAUAGGGAUUAUUCAUUAUUGAUAUCAUUUCGAACUUCGCCUUCGUGAUGGUGUUUGUGGCUGUGGCUAUGUUAAUAUCAAGUGGGAAGGAGCAUCCCAGUAUGCCCUUGAGG